rnacentral:rRNA from 1 species
UACAUGGGGUGCAAACGUUGCUCGGAAUUAUUGGGCGUAAAGCGCACGUAGGCGGUUCGUUAAGUCGGAUGUGAAAGCCCUCGGCUCAACUGAGGAAGUGCACCCGAAACUGGCGAGCUUGAGUACGAAAGAGGAUCGCGGAAUUCCCGGUGUAGAGGUGAAAUUCGUAGAUAUCGGGAGGAACACCGGUGGCGAAGGCGGCGACCUGGACGGCACUGACACUCAACUACGAAAGCGUGGGAGC